AAAGUUUUUAACAGGUUGAGGACUAGCAAAAGAAAGAUCAAAAGGCCAAUAAAGUACAUUAACUACCGGGAUUAUACACGGUACUUCUACGCAUCAAUUUUAGCUUCAUGAGUAUUAAAAACUAAAAAGACAUGCUAAGCAACAGCUUGAGUUUCCUCUUCGUCAUCAGUCUAUAUACAUGUUCCACCCUCAUGAUGCUCCUCUAGUUUUAUAGAUAAACUACAUUUAGGUGGUUCCAGACUUCCAGUGCUAUCUGAUCAUGGAAGUCCUAUUGUAGGUGGAGGGUUCCCCUGUACAUUACUUAAUGAAUGCUGUGCUAUUUGUUUCCUUUAGAUAAAGAUCUGUACAUUUGUAUGUAUGUCUAUUGUCAUCUAGGAUUAGAUAAGAUUAGAAUGUAUAACUAGGAAUUAGUUACUAGAAUGUGCUUGUAGUCAAGUAUA